AUUCAACUGACGAGUCCCAACUAGGACGAAACACAGAUCCUGAAU
rnacentral:hammerhead_ribozyme from 1 species